GCAAACUUGGUCAUUUAGAGGAAGUAAAAGUCGUAACAAGGUUUCCGUAGGUGAACCUGCGGAAGGAUCAUCACUGAUUCGCGGGGUCUCCGUGUUCCUGUGUGUGUGCUGCUGCGUGGUAUAGCGCGCGCGCACACACACAGCGAGCCGCCCCAAACCAAUCUUGUGUGCACCGUUUCACUGGUCAAAGGGAUGACGUGUGGUGGUUGUGUGUGUUGGUGGUGGGGAGUGCAUGCGCUGCCCCCACCGACUGCACGCACCCCGUCGUUCUAAAUUUAUACAACAAUCUCUUGAUGUAAACUUUGUCUAACGCGUUUUACUUAAAUAACACAUACAACUUUUAGCAAUGGAUCUCUUGGCUCUCGCAUCGAUGAAGAACGCAGC
rnacentral:misc_RNA from 1 species